rnacentral:rRNA from 1 species
CCUACGGGUGGCAGCAGUGGGGAAUAUUGCACAAUGGGCGCAAGCCUGAUGCAGCCAUGCCGCGUGUGUGAAGAAGGCCUUCGGGUUGUAAAGCACUUUCAGCGGGGAGGAAGGCGGUGAGGUUAAUAACCUCAUCGAUUGACGUUACCCGCAGAAGAAGCACCGGCUAACUCCGUGCCAGCAGCCGCGGUAAUACGGCGGGUGCAAGCGUUAAUCGGAAUUACUGGGCGUAAAGCGCACGCAGGCGGUCUGUCAAGUCGGAUGUGAAAUCCCCGGGCUCAACCUGGGAACUGCAUUCGAAACUGGCAGGCUAGAGUCUUGUAGAGGGGGGUAGAAUUCCAGGUGUAGCGGUGAAAUGCGUAGAGAUCUGGAGGAAUACCGGUGGCGAAGGCGGCCCCCUGGACAAAGACUGACGCUCAGGUGCGAAAGCGUGGGGAGCAAACAGGAUUAGAUACCCUAGUAGUC